rnacentral:rRNA from 1 species
AUGUGAUCGUCUCUCGCAUAUCAAUAAGCGGAGGAAAAGAAACUAACAAGGAUUCCCCUAGUAACGGCGAGUGAAGCGGGAAGAGCUCAAAUUUGAAAUCUUAAAGGGUUUCCCUUUACGAAUUGUAGUUUAAAGAAGUGUUUUCUGUUGAGGUUUUGGUAAAAGUUCUUUGGAAUAGGACAUCAUAGAGGGUGAGAAUCCCGUAUUUGACCUUUACUUUCAACUUUGUGAUACACUUUCAAAGAGUCGGAUUGUUUGGGAAUGCAGUCCAAAAUGGGUGGUAAAUUUCAUCUAAAGCUAAAUAUUGGCGAGAGACCGAUAGCGAACAAGUACCGUGAGGGAAAGAUGAAAAGAACUUUGAAAAGAGAGUUAAACAGUACGUGAAAUUGUCAAAAGGGAAGCGUUUGACACCAGUGUUGUUUUUCUGAAAAUCAAUUAAAGAACUGUUUAUGCUAAGUUGUUUAGACUUUAUCAGCUAUCUGUUUAGUUUUGAGCUUUUCUUUAAUGCACUUUUCAGUUAACAAGUCAACAUCAAUUUCUUUUGCUGUAAAAAAGCUUGAGGAAGGUGGCUUGAGAUUCGUCUUAAGUGUUUAUAGCCUCUUGCCUAUGCAGUCGGAGAGAUUGAGGUCUGCAGCGUAGAUCCUUCGGGGCUAAAUGCAUUUGUGCUAAGUUAUAGCAUUUUAUAGACAACUUGUUGACUAUGAUUUGUCUUGUAGCUUACUCGCUUAUGUUAUUUUACCUACGCUUAGGAUGUUGAGCGCAUGUCUCUCUCU